rnacentral:rRNA from 1 species
UAAGGAAUAUUGGUCAAUGGACGCAAGUCUGAACCAGCCAUGCCGCGUGAAGGAUUAAGGCCCUCUGGGUUGUAAACUUCUUUUAUAGGGGAAGAAAUGUGACGGUUCUCCGUCACUUGACGGUACCCUGGGAAUAAGCUCCGGCUAACUACGUGCCAGCAGCCGCGGUAAUACGUAGGGAGCAAGCGUUGUUCGGAUUUACUGGGCGUAAAGGGCGCGUAGGCGGCGCGGUAAGUCACUUGUGAAAUCUCUGAGCUUAACUCAGAACGGCCAAGUGAUACUGCUGCGCUAGAGUGCGGAAGAGGCAACCGGAAUUCUUGGUGUAGCGGUGAAAUGCGUAGAUAUCAAGAGGAACACCUGAGGCGAAGGCGGGUUGCUGGGCCGACACUGACGCUGAUGCGCGAAAGCCAGGGGAGCAAA